GGUUCAUGCGAACGUGCACGUGUGAAUCAUUAUGGUUACGGCUUAUAGCUUCGGCAGGGCAGUCGUUUUCGUCGCACUUGUAUUAAUAAUAUUUGAAAUAGAAAUCCCAUCGUCAGCAUUUGGGAAUCCUGUGCCAUCGCCAACUUUGUCAGGCAAUCCGAGUGGUAGUCCUGGUCCAAAACGAGGUGCUCGCACGGGCACUAGUUUCACUUUGACGCGUCAACAAGGCAAUAAAUAUCAGAAACAGAUUGCCGCUGCUCAGAAGCAGCAGAAGCAACAGCAACGACCACCACAACCACCACAACGGCGGCGACAAUAAUAAAAAAAAGAUGCGACAAUGAAACCGGAAGUUUUUUUGACAGACAUGAUUCAUCCUGCAGACGGUUGCUCCAUAACAGAUGAAUCCUGUAGCGGUCAUCGCAUAAGAGGGCGCUCACAUGCCACGGAACUGUACACCCGCUGCAAGAACGUUUGGGAGGACCUCAGCAACAAACCGUCAGAAGGAUCUGUUUCUGUCAUUAAGCUUGUUAUUUGUCUUUAUUUGUGUGGUGCAAAGUAAGAUGAAAGUGUAACACAGGUAUUAAAAGAAGUUAAACUGG
rnacentral:lncRNA from 1 species